rnacentral:rRNA from 1 species
UAAAAUUAGUAAUAGUUAUGUUCUUGAAAUUUAAAAGAUUUGGCGGUAUUUUAAAUUUUUAGAGGAACCUGUUCUAUAAUUGAUAGUCCACGAUUAAAUGUACUUGUUUUAAGUUUAUAUAUCGUUGUAGAUAAAUAUUCUGUAAGGAAAUUAAUAUUUGUAAUAUUAAUAAUUAAUAAGGAUUCAAAUCAAGAUGUAGCUAUAAGUAAGAAGAAAUGGGUUACAAUUAUUUUAAUAUUGAAUUAGAUAUUUUAAAUAUUUAUGAAAGUGGAUUUAAUAGUAAUUUGGUAUAUAAUUGUUAAAUGAAUAAUUCUAUAAAAUAUGUACAUAUUGCCCGUCACUCCUGAUUAAA